rnacentral:rRNA from 1 species
GACGAACGCUGGCGGCGUGCCUAAUACAUGCAAGUAGAACGCUGAAGAGAGGAGCUUGCUCUUCUUGGAUGAGUUGCGAACGGGUGAGUAACGCGUAGGUAACCUGCCUUGUAGCGGGGGAUAACUAUUGGAAACGAUAGCUAAUACCGCAUAACAAUGGAUGACACAUGUCAUUUAUUUGAAAGGGGCAAUUGCUCCACUACAAGAUGGACCUGCGUUGUAUUAGCUAGUAGGUGAGGUAACGGCUCACCUAGGCGACGAUACAUAGCCGACCUGAGAGGGUGAUCGGCCACACUGGGACUGAGACACGGCCCAGACUCCUACGGGAGGCAGCAGUAGGGAAUCUUCGGCAAUGGGGGCAACCCUGACCGAGCAACGCCGCGUGAGUGAAGAAGGUUUUCGGAUCGUAAAGCUCUGUUGUAAGUCAAGAACGAGUGUGAGAGUGGAAAGUUCACACUGUGACGGUAGCUUACCAGAAAGGGACGGCUACUACGUG